CCUACGGGUGGCAGCAGUGGGGAAUAUUGCACAAUGAGGGAAACCCUGAUGCAGCGACGCCGCGUGAGUGCAGAAGUAUUUCGGUAUUUAAAGCUCUAUCAGCAGGGAAGAAAAUGACGGUACCUGAUUAAGAAGCCCCGGCUAACUACGUGCCAGCAGCCGCGUUAAUACGUAGGGGGCAAGCGUUAGCCGGAUUUACUGGGGGUAAAGGGAGCGUAGAAGGCAGCACAAGUCUGGAGUGAAAUGCCGGGGCGGAACCCCGGAACUGCUUUGGAAACUGUGCAGCUAGAGUGCAGGAGAGGUAAGUGGAAUUCCUAGUGUAGCGGUGAAAGGCGUAGAUAUUAGGAGGAACACCAGUGGCGAAGGCGGCUUACUGGACUGUAACUGACGUUGAGGCUCGAAAGCGUGGGGAGCAAACAGGAUUAGAUACCCUUGUAGUC
rnacentral:rRNA from 1 species